rnacentral:lncRNA from 1 species
GACUGUUAGUGCAUGGUGAUCCUUUCCAGUAGAAUCCGAGACCUUGAGAGCGAGACCUUUACAACCUUCUGAAGAAAGUGCUCUCAUUCUUCAGAUGAGAGACACAAGGGCUCAGUGAGGUGAGUGGCUGAGCUGAGAACAGGAUGUCUGUCUUCUGGGCUCUGGCAGGCCGCUAUCUCAGUGCUCUUCUAAGAAGACCCUUUUCAGAACCCGCGCACUGCCGCUAUGGAACAGCACGACGGACCAUGAGCAGGGAAGCCUGAUUUCUAUAUUGGGAUUCUCUCCUGAUUAUGUGGCCUCAAGAAAAUCACUUCGCAUUAUUGGGUUUCUACUGCUUGUAGUCUCUUUGGGGAGAUGGACCGGUACCCAUUCAAUUACAAUGCAGAACACCAUGUUGGAAGAGAAAGGAAAGAACCUGGAACACACAGUCAAUAAACCAAAAACCAAAAAAACCAAACCAAACCAAAACAAAACAACUAACACCAUUUGGGGGCUCACUAACUUCCAUAGGAUGCACAGAAUGAAGACAGGAGAGGUGACAUGGUCUCAUCAGAAAGUGUGUGACAGCGAUCUCAGAGCACUUUGGAGAAGCUUAAGAAAGGGCUCUGGUUUGGGUCACCGGGAACCACAGAGGAGACAGCUAUGUUCAAAGAAGUAA